GAAAGCACAAAGGGACAAUGACAUUCAUUGUAUUGAAAUAGAGUUUUCAAGCCAUUUUUCAAAUAUACGCACUGGCUGGCUAGGCGGGUGUCCCCAUCCUCCCUCAACGAUCCAUGUGCGUCCCUCCCGAAGCUGCGCGCUCGGUCGAAGAGGACGACCACCCCUGAUAGAGGAGGACCGUUCCUCGGUCAAGGGUAUACGAGUAGCUGCGCUCCCCUGCUAGAACCUCCAAACAAGCUCUCAAAUAUAUGUCCUUCUGUAUUAGCACGUUAACAAGGCCUAGUGACAAGUAAUGGCCACCUCGCUUGUGAAUUUGUGAUGAGCAUGUAUGGU
rnacentral:sRNA from 1 species